rnacentral:rRNA from 1 species
UACGUAGGGGGCAAGCGUUGUCCGGAUUUAUUGGGCGUAAAGAGCGUGUAGGCGGCCUGAAAGGUCAGCUGUGAAAACUCGAGGCUUAACCUCGAGACGUCGGUUGAAACCAUCUGGCCAGAGUCCGGAAGAGGAGUGUGGAAUUCCCGGUGUAGCGGUGAAAUGCGCAGAUAUCGGGAAGAACACCCGUGGCGAAGGCGGCACUCUGGGACGGUACUGACGCUGAGACGCGAAAGCGUGGGGAGCGAACAGG